UACGAAGGGGGCGAGCGUUGUUCGGAAUCACUGGGCGUAAAGCGUGCGCAGGCGGCUUUGCAAGACAGAUGUGAAAUCCCCGGGCUUAACCUGGGAACUGCAUUUGUGACUGCAUGGCUGGAGUGCGGCAGAGGGGGAUGGAAUUCCGCGUGUAGCAGUGAAAUGCGUAGAUAUGCGGAGGAACACCGAUGGCGAAGGCAAUCCCCUGGGCCUGCACUGACGCUCAUGCACGAAAGCGUAGGGAGCAAACAGG
rnacentral:rRNA from 1 species